rnacentral:rRNA from 1 species
GCUCCUAUCUCGUAUGAGCGGCGGACGGGUGAGUCAUGUCUGGGGACUGCCCUCUAGAUGGGGAUAACUACUGGCAACGGUGUCUAAUACCGCAUACUAUCAGAUAACCCAUAUGGGAUUAGCUAGUAGGUGUGGUAAAGUCUCACCUAGGCGACGAUCUCUCGCUGGUCUGAGAGGAUGAUUAGCCACACUGGGACGUAGAGACGGACCAGACGCCUACGGAGGCAGCAGUGGGGAAUAUUGCACAAGGGGCGCAAGCAUGAUGCAGCAAUGCCGAGGGGAUGAAGAAGGCCUGAGGGGUUGAAAGUACUUUAAGCGGGGAGGCGUUACCCGCAGAAGAAGCAAAGGAUAACUCCGUGCCAGAAGACGCGGUAAUUC